ensembl:lncRNA
UCUCAUUCUAAGGUAUGUACAAAACCUAUUCUGGAAGUUACGUUUAGUAAAGUCAUAAGUUUCUAAGUUUCAAGACCCAACAAUUAGGCAGAGAACAGAUUCCCUAAACCAAACGUGAGAUAGACACAGUGUAAAAUAUGCUGAGCUAAAACUUUCUACUAUGUUCUGCAGGAUCCACAUUUUUAACAUUAAGAGGGAACUUGAAGCAUUUUGAAAGGAAAGGAUUUCCAUGCAAUCAUCUCCUAUCAGGUUUAUUUUGGUGUAGUGAUACUGCACUGGGUUACAUAAAGGCACUGUAAAAACUCCUGAGCUCCACUCAAGCAUGACCUAUUUCAUCAUAUCAGUGAAGAUCUGAAAGCACCCAGAGAAGCGUGUCAAGCUUUCUGUGCAUAAACUAAUCAAGUAAUGGUGAGCAACUUGUCAAAUGACUAGAAUUUGCCUAACACUAGUUUCACUGAAUGUCUGAUGGUGAAGGAGCAGCAUGGAGUCCUUAUGAAGUAUUGAAUGUGUCAGUAGCAGAAAAACUCAUCAGGAAAAUUUUUGUACUCCGUGAAAAUUAUUUAUUAGAGAAGACAUACAUGACAACCUCGUCUUGGAAUUAUAUUUCUAGGUUAAUGCUUUCCAUAUAGGUUGCCCAAAAGAUAC